CUUUAUGGGCGAGGAGAGAAGAGAGAACAACAGGACCAGCUGUGCUCCAAGCAUCUACUGCUCGCCACAGCACACAGAGAAGAGUGUCUGAGAGAACUUGGAAGCUCAGUGGACACAGAACAAACAAGAACUGGGUUCCUCUGGGCUCUGCCAGUUUGCGUCAAACUCUAAAAGACGUCAGCGAAGCAGGCCAGAAACGCCCUGGACGCUCAGCCGAUUUCCUCAGAUACGGACCCUUCUUCUGCAGCCGCAUAUGAAUAUUUCACGUAUCAUUUGAAGUUCUUCCUUUAAACUUGACUCUGCCAUUGUCCUGACUUUGUCCAGUGUUGAGGGCACAUGGCGACGAACUCCCUGAUGUAUGUGACACUAAGCAGUAGUUCUCUCUGAUGUUUUAUUUCCAUUUAUCUAAUAAUUUAGUUGGCAAAUACUUACUGAAUGCCAACUAAGUAACAGUGAUUAUGAGAGGUGUAUCUUCCCUCCCCUUUGGGGCCUAAAGGCACCAAUUGUGUGGGAGGAAAUACAAGUUUAAUCAUUUGAAGUAUUUGCUGUAAGAAGGUUUCCCCAGCUUCACAUGCCCUGGAUUUCAUUGCUUUUCACCAUGCCAGCAAACUCUCCUUCCCAAGCCUUGUCCGUCUUUCUAGCCUUAUCUCCCACUCCUGUGCACGCCCUCGUUGCCUGUUAAAUGGUUCUCUACACUAGAUCUUCAACACACUUUUGAUUUCCUGACUUAGUGCUUUUGCAACGCUGUUCUUGCUACAAAUCCAGCUCCUCUUUGAAGCUUUAUCUACCUGCAAGGCUGAGCUCACUGACUCUGCCAUUGUCUGAGCUACGGAUCCUCUCUUAACUUUAACACACAAGGCUGCCCAUGCCUUCCUUACAGUUCUCACCAUCUCUGGUAGACACUGAAUUUAUUUACAAAAUGGUCUUCUCCCCAGCUAGGAGUUUUUUUGUGAAACUCACCUAUCUCUUUCUCAUUUACUUUGGCAUUCCAUAGAACUAAGCAAGUAUCUUACCUAAAAUUCAUGAGUAGUAAAUGUGUACAGAUAUUGGUUUAUUUGGAUGAAUAGAUGGUGAGUUAUCAAAACAAUGAGAUAAUACACUCACAUCUCACAACAAAACCUCAGGCAAUACAGAAAGCCAAAUAAAAUUAAAAUGUUAGAUUACUCAGUAAGCACCUAUUUGUUUCUUUAAAGGGCAUUUCUGAAUAAUGAAAAUAGCUUAGAAAAUCCUUAGCCAGUUACUUUAAAUCCAGUGUCCUAAGAAAAUGUCUCAGCAAGUUCUAUACUUUCUCCUUAGGGUAUCACUUUACCCAUUGAGCAGCUGCACAAAUCAAAGCACAGAAAAGGAAUGUCCUGGGGACACACAUUUCCAUGCCACCGUCAGAGCCAGAAAUAGAACUGAGGCAAGUACGUCUUGCCCUUCAGCCAAUGGCACACACUGCCUUUGUCCUGCUUUGUGGUCCACUGUGAAGCACAGGAGGGCACCGUUCUUGGUUGACUGUGAACAAUGAAGCAUUUCAAAUCAGUGGGAAGAAGGAACAACAUGGGGACAAUGGCAAAUGUGCUUUUAUUCAUUUACUAGAGGCCCAGUGCACGAAAUUCGUGCACAGGUAGGGUCCAGAUGACACUCAUGCCAUGAUAAGGGCCAGGACCGAGGCCGGCUGGGGGCUGGGGGGAGGGGCUGAGAGCGGUUGACCUGCUGGCCCCGCCCCCUGGUGAAUCUCCUGGUCAAACUCCCAGUCAAGGGAACAAUUUGCAUAUUAGGCUUUUAUUACAUAGGAUUUGUCAGUUCUCGAAUAAUUGCAAUACAUCGCAACAUAUCUGCAGGGGACAUGGGUAGGGAAUACAUGUUUCUAGCAAGGACCUCAGAGGGCCCUCAUGCUGGCAGUCCUUGGGAGCCCUUGGUGAAAUUGAAUUACAUGUUCAAAGUUCAGUGAGGAAUAAGCCAGAAUCUAUUCCCUUUUUGCAGCUGGAUUUUUAUUUUUGCUAUAAAACUAUCAAACAGAUUGUUUCAUAUCAGAACAUAUCGAGGUGCUUAUUAUUAUUAUUCUUUUACAGUCACACAGUAUCUCAUAAUAUUUUUUAGCCAAUCCCAUGUUGAUGAAUAUUUAGGUUGCUUCCAAAUGUUUGCUAGUUUAAAAAUAAAAGGAAAAUAAAAAGACUGUAAUGGUACCCUUCUACAUACAUUAUUUUAUACAUGUACCAAGUAUAUGUUUAAGAAGAAUUCUUAGAAGUGGAAUUUCUAAGUCAAAUAACAUGCACAUUUUAAAUUUAGAUUGAUAUUGUCAAAUUGUCCCCAUAACGGUUGUAUCUGAUUGUAUAGUUCUGAAUAUCUACGUACCACCUACUGUGAGUAAAAUGGAUUUUUAUAUAUUUUCUUCCCUUUUCAUUAUUUUUGUUGAGAAUUUCUUUUAAUUGAUUUAUUGCAUGAAAUAGGAUCUUCUCAACAAUGUUAAAUAGAACUGGUGACAAUAGGCAUAUCUCUCCAUUAAGUAUCAUAUUGAGGAAGUCCCCUUGUACUUCCAGUUUCAUGAGAGUCCAUUUUCUAAAUCAUAAGGGAGUCUCAAAUUUUGUUAAAUCUUUUGCUUGCAUCUAUUGGGAUAAUUGUAUGUUUGUUUGUUUGUUUGUUUGUUUGUUUUUCAUUCUGUUAAUUUGGUGAAUCAGACUGAUUGCUUUUAAAUAUUAAACCAACUUGUGUUUCUGGAUAAGCCCUAAUUGAAAGUAAUGAUAAUCUUAUAUGUUGCUGAAUUCAUUUUGUUCUAUUUUGCUAAAAAUGUAUCUGUUCUUAAAGGACAUUGUAAUUUCCUUUACUUGUAGUAUCUUUGGUUUUGGUAUCAGAUUUAUAUUGGGCUCAAAAAUUUGGAAAGUAAUAUUUCCUCAUUUAUUUUCUAAAAGAGUUUGUGUAAGAUUGAUCUUUUUAUCCUAAAUGUUUGAUAGAAUUUAUCACUGAAUCUAUCUAGACAUGAAGAUUACUUUAAAGAAAUUUUAGAUUUUCUGUUAAUUACUUUCAUUCCUUUAAUAGAUAUAAGGGUAGUCAAAUUUCUUAUUGUAUCUUAUUGUCAGUUUUGGUAAGUUGUAUUUUUCACAGAAGUUAUUAGAAGUGUGCUGCCUUAUUGUCAACUAUUUGGAGAUAUUUCCUCUUUUCUAUCUAAUUUAUUUUGUGGUCAAGCAUUUAUUACCUCAAUUUUUAUAAAUUUAUUGAUACUGAUGGUUGAAUACAUGUCCUCUCUUGAUGACUGCUUCAUGUACACUUUAAAAAAUACGUAUUCUGAAAUUGUUAGAUGUGGUGUCUGUGAAAGUGUACUAAAUCAAGGGUGUUGAUUAA